UGGGGUAUGGGGUUAUUGGCAGCCCUGCUGAUUCUGGUUCAGUAAGUCUAGGUUCGAGUCCUGGUACCCCAG
rnacentral:tRNA from 1 species